rnacentral:rRNA from 1 species
UGGGGAAUUUUGGACAAUGGGCGCAAGCCUGAUCCAGCAAUGCCGCGUGCAGGAUGAAGGCCCUCGGGUUGUAAACUGCUUUUGUACGGAACGAAAAAGCUCUCUCUAAUACAGGGGGUGAAUGACGGUACCGUAAGAAUAAGCACCGGCUAACUACGUGCCAGCAGCCGCGGUAAUACGUAGGGUGCAAGCGUUAAUCGGAAUUACUGGGCGUAAAGCGUGCGCAGGCGGUUUUGUAAGACAGAGGUGAAAUCCCCGGGCUCAACCUGGGAACUGCCUUUGUGACUGCAAAGCUGGAGUGCGGCAGAGGGGGAUGGAAUUCCGCGUGUAGCAGUGAAAUGCGUAGAUAUGCGGAGGAACACCGAUGGCGAAGGCAAUCCCCUGGGCCUGCACUGACGCUCAUGCACGAAAGCGUGGGGAGCAAACA